UACAGAGGGUGCAAGCGUUAAUCGGAAUUACUGGGCGUAAAGCGUGCGUAGACGGUUACGUAAGUCGGGUGUGAAAGCCCCGGGCUCAACCUGGGAAUUGCAUUCGAGACUGUGUAGCUAGGGUGCGGAAGGGGGAAGCGGAAUUUCCGGUGUAGCGGUGAAAUGCGUAGAUAUCGGAAGGAACAUCAGUGGCGAAAGCGGCUUCCUGGUCCAGCACCGACGUUCAGGCACGAAAGCGUGGGGAGCAAACAGG
rnacentral:rRNA from 1 species